UACAGAGGGUGCGAGCGUUAAUCGGAGUUACUGGGCGUAAAGGGCGCGUAGGCGGUUUUGUAAGUGAGAUGUGAAAGGCCUGGGCUUAACCUAGGAACGGCAUCUUAGACUAUAGGACUAGAGUGCAGUAGAGGGUGGCGGAAUUUCCGGUGUAGCGGUGAAAUGCGUAGAGAUCGGAAGGAACACCAGUGGCGAAGGCGGCCACCUGGACUGUCACUGACGCUGAGGCGCGAGAGCGUGGGUAGCAAACAGG
rnacentral:rRNA from 1 species